GCCGUAGUGGUGUAGCGGUUGCAUUUAGGACUGUGGCUCCUCAGGCCUGGGUUCAAUUCCCAGCUGCGGCC
rnacentral:tRNA from 1 species